GUUCCUCGUGGGGGCUUUUCUUUCCCCCAUGGUCGCCCCAACCGAAGACAUUUAGAUCAGUUUACGUUGGGUUUUGUGGCCUUCGUGUUCCUUUUGGUUGUUUUGGUUUCUUUACAUGUUUGAUCUUUUGUCUAAAGCUCCAUAGGGUCUUCUCGUCUUAUGUAUUUAUGUCCGCUUCUGCACGGGCAGAUCAAUUUCAUUGACUGGGGGAAGGAGACAGUUAAACCCUCGUUAUGCCAUUCAUACAGGUCUCUAUUUAAAA
rnacentral:rRNA from 1 species